CUUCUGGAGGGAGUGUGGUGAUGGAGCAGGUCUGUGAGGUAGGAGGGGGGCUGGUUGUGGAGGGCUUUGUGAGUGAGGAGGACUUUAAAUUGGAGCCAGUGGAGGUUCUGGAGGAGGUUCUGGAGGAGCCAGCAGAGGUUCUGGAGGAGCCAGCGGAGGUUCUGGAGGAGGUUCUGGAGGAGCCAGCGGAGGUUCUGUAGGAGCCAGCGGAGGUUCUGGAGGACAGUGAGGGGGUGUGGGUGAGCAGGCGAGCAGCAGAGUUCUGGAUGUAUUGAAGUGUAUUAAUAAUUCUUCUAUUCUGUUUUUUAUGUAAUGUGUAUUUUCUACCUGCUGUGUAUCUGGAGCGGCUGUAGUGGGAUCAAUAACGUCUGAUCAGAUCUUAAUAAAUAACAAACCCUCACUGUAAACAAUGUCUGAUAAAUAAAUAAAUAAAUGUUGAUGAAGACUUCUUA